rnacentral:rRNA from 1 species
GACGAACGCUGGCGGCGUGCCUAAUACAUGCAAGUCGAGCGAAGUUUUUCUGGUGCUUGCACCGGAAAAACUUAGCGGCGAACGGGUGAGUAACACGUAAAGAACCUGCCUUAUAGACUGGGACAACUAUUGGAAACGAUAGCUAAUACCGGAUAACAGCAUUAACUGCAUGGUUGAUGUUUGAAAGUUGGUUUUGCUAACACUAUGAGAUGGCUUUGCGGUGCAUUAGCUAGUUGGUGGGGUAAAGGCCUACCAAGGCGACGAUGCAUAGCCGACCUGAGAGGGUGAUCGGCCACACUGGGACUGAGACACGGCCCAGACUCCUACGGGAGGCAGCAGUAGGGAAUCUUCCGCAAUGGGCGAAAGCCUGACGGAGCAACGCCGCGUGAGUGAAGAAGGAUUUCGGUUCGUAAAGCUCUGUUGUUAGGGAAGAAUGAUUGUGUAGUAACUAUACACAGUAGAGACGGUACCUAACCAGAAAGCCACGGCUAACUACGCG